rnacentral:rRNA from 1 species
GACGAACGCUGGCGGCGUGCUUAACACAUGCAAGUCGAACGAUGAAGCUGGAGCUUGCUCCGGUGGAUUAGUGGCGAACGGGUGAGUAACACGUGAGCAAUCUGCCCUUCACUCUGGGAUAACUGCGGGAAACUGUAGCUAAUACCGGAUACGAGACCGUGGGGCAUCCAAGGGUCUGGAAAGUAUUUCGGUGAAGGAUGAGCUCGCGGCCUAUCAGCUAGUUGGUGAGGUAAUGGCUCACCAAGGCGACGACGGGUAGCCGGCCUGAGUGGGUGACCGGCCACACUGGGCCUGAGACACGGCCCAGACUCCUACGGGAGGCAGCAGUGGGGAAUAUUGCACAAUGGGCGAAAGCCUGAUGCAGCAACGCCGCGUGAGGGAUGAAGGCCUUCGGGUUGUAAACCUCUUUUAGUAGGGAAGAAGCGCAAGUGACGGUACCUACAGAAAAAGCACCGGCUAACUACGUGCCAGCCGCCGCAGUAA